CACGUAGGGCGCGAGCGUUGUCCGGAAUUAUUGGGCGUAAAGAGCUCGUAGGCGGCCUGUUGCGUCCGCUGUGAAAGCCCGGGGCUUAACCCCGGGUCGGCAGUGGAUACGGGCAGGCUAGAGGUAGGUAGGGGAGAAUGGAAUUCCCGGUGUAGCGGUGAAAUGCGCAGAUAUCGGGAGGAACACCGGUGGCGAAGGCGGGUAGCUGGGCCAACACUGACGCUGAGACGCGAAAGCUAGGGGAGCAAACGGG
rnacentral:rRNA from 1 species